GGCUGAAACAAGCGAAAUAUGUGGUGCCUUCGAGCAAAACCUGGAGGGCCUCCCAGAUGAUCAUGGUCUUCAUCUUCUUGUUAUUCUUCCAAUCCUUCACUGGAGUGCUGUGGACCCUGGCCAUCACCAUUUGGAGAAUGAAACCUUCAAUUAACUGCAGCCCCUUCCAAGAUCUGCCUUUCUUCAUUUAGUCCAUCUUCCUUUGGAGCAACACCCUGCAUAAGAGAUCACAGAGGGAAGGAAGGUUACGAUCAGGCUGCUCCAUGAACAGAUCAUUAAUGAGGGAAAAGAUAAGAUGUUCCUGGUAGAAAAGUUGACCAAAAUGCAGGACAUGGAGAAGAGGGCAGACUCCCAUGCAGUUAUCCUGGAAAGAAGAAGAUGGAGCAACAAGGCCCUUUGCAUUUGGGGGAACGUGAUUCUACUCAUGACCUGCAGUUUAAACAAUCAACUCAAGAAGAUAAUUUAAAGGCCUGGUGACUUGUGGCAACAAGACACCAAGCCAAUAAGAAAAGAAGAUAAAAAUGGGAAAGAUUCUUCCUUGACACCUGGGCCUUGAAGAGCUUCUCAGAAGGAGGAUCCACGCCUUUAGCAGGGAGUGGAAAACUAACCCACAAUGUCAAUACCAAAGUAAAAUUGGGCAUCCUCUGUUGUCUUUCAAACCUGGAUUGCUGAUUUUUCAAGACAACAUAUUUGGGGUUUUCCAGUAAAGACUGAUGAAAUAUUAAACUUAGC